rnacentral:rRNA from 1 species
GACGAACGCUGGCGGCGUGCCUAAUACAUGCAAGUCGAGCGAAGUUUUUCUGGUGCUUGCACUAGAAAAACUUAGCGGCGAACGGGUGAGUAACACGUAAAGAACCUGCCUCAUAGACUGGGACAACUAUUGGAAACGAUAGCUAAUACCGGAUAACAGUAUUUCUCGCAUGAGAGAUAUUUAAAAGUUGGUUUUGCUAACACUAUGAGAUGGCUUUGCGGUGCAUUAGCUAGUUGGUGGGGUAAAGGCCCACCAAGGCGACGAUGCAUAGCCGACCUGAGAGGGUGAUCGGCCACACUGGGACUGAGACACGGCCCAGACUCCUACGGGAGGCAGUAGUAGGGAAUCUUCCGCAAUGGGCGAAAGCCUGACGGAGCAACGCCGCGUGAGUGAAGAAGGAUUUCGGUUCGUAAAGCUCUGUUGUUAGGGAAGAAUGGAUAUGUAGUAACUAUACAUGUAAGAGACGGUACCUAACCAGAAAGCCACGGCUAACUACGUG